rfam:Gossypium raimondii Chr10_contig_584, whole genome shotgun sequence.
AUUCCAUGAUGGGGGAAUUUCCUUGGUGAUAGUUUAAAACAUUCCCAUGCCUCGUAUAGGUCCUCACCCUUGAUUUGCUUGAAAUUGGUGAUGUCAUUCCUUAGCU